rnacentral:rRNA from 1 species
AACUUUCAACAAUGGAUCUCUUGGCUCUCGCAUCGAUGAAGAACGCAGCGAAUUGCGAUAAGUAGUGUGAAUUGCAGAAUUCUGUGAAUCAUCGAAUCUUUGAACGCAUAUUGCGCUCUCUGGUACUCCGGAGAGCAUGCCUGUUUGAGGGUAA